GAAUAAGCUUUGAAAGCUUCGCUCCCUGCUAAGUAUUAUCAGUGCUGUUAAAUCAGCUGGUGGCUUGAGAAACAUAAAUAUUUAUCAAAAUUACAACUUCGCAAAUAUUUGUAUACACACUUCUCAAUCUCUCGCCGUCCAGCUUGGAAAAGCCUGCCGGCAGAUAUCAUCAAUCCAACUGCCAAAUCUGCAACUGAGUUUUUAACUAUGCCUGGAGUGUGACCCAAAGGCAUUUGACGGCGCUUAAAUUCCGCUACAUCGACGUAAUCAAUGCCCGACGACAUGGUUGAAACCGCUUUCAAUUGCUUGCCGGCGGCGUCAAGUAUCUCGGCAUUGAGCGGUUGGUAGUGGGCCCAGUAAACGGCAUCCACUCCGGGUAAUUUGCGUAUUAUUUCGGCACGCGACGGCGGUACACUUUCGCACACUAUUGUUUCACAUCCACGCUGUUGGAGAAGCUCCAAGGCUACUUUGGGUACCUCCGGAUGGGAGACGAGAACUUUGUGAAGACGUCGCGUUGUGCUGGCCAUUUUUAUAAAAAAGUUUUUUGAACCUGUUUAUAUCUACCUUAGGAGAUAGUUCAGACGACACUAGAUUCACUCAACAGCGCUAAGCUUUUACAUUGGUAUAUUCUAAUUUAGUCAAUUCAAACACAUACAUACUUUUACAUACAAAUAUUUGCUACAGUGGCGGCCAUAGAAAGAUACCUCCAACAUGGUUCUUUAUUUACUGUGAAAAUGUGUUAAAUUAGAGUAAGGGUUUCAUAGAAGUUGGUAAUUGGACAAAUGGCGCCGCCCACCUUAAGGGGAUAUUUUAUACCUCAGGAAAUAAUCGACUAAUUUCAACGAUAUUUACUGCGUGACAUUAUUUUAUAAUUCGUAUGUUACGUUGUGAAAAUAGGCGACAUCGUACAACAACCGCGCAUAAUACCAUAUAUAAAACUUUUAAAUUCCUAUAAAAUAUACAUAAAAACACCAAUAAAGUAAUAGAAAUUAAACUUUGAGCAAA